GGCUCUAUCGUCUAACGGUUAGGACGAAGCCUUCUCAAGGCUUAAAUCGCGGUUCAAUUCCGCGUAGAGUCA
rnacentral:tRNA from 1 species